rnacentral:lncRNA from 1 species
AUGGGUCCUCUAUUUCAGCUGCCCUGCAGAGCUGGAGCGGUUCCUGCUGGCGCUGGACGCUGUGUGGAAGAGCACCUACCAGGUGGACCUUCUGCACAAGCCCCUCGAGGACAGCUCUGUCCGGAAGAAAUGCGAGGACGCGCUGAGCCUGAUCCACAGCACGUGGCAGCGCAGCGACAGCCUGUGCCGCGGCCGGGCUUCCCGGGACCCCUGGUGCUAGCCUCCCAGGAGACGAAGAACGGCCCGAUCCCACCAGGCAGAAGCAUGGCGGGCGCACGAACCGGGGAGGGGAGGGGGAAACCUGAGGCAGGGGGGGCGUGGGCCUUGCUCGCUUGGACACUCCACGAUCUUCCCCCGAACCCGGGGUCUCUUUGCUACCGCUGCUAUUGACUCCGCCUCGCGCACCGGUUGAGCUGGUGGUUACACGACAGUUGUUUGUGCCAUGGGUGGGUUGCGUCUCAGUCGGGACUCCGGGUACAAGCGGGAGUGAGAAGCAGGAGCUCUGGGCUGCCACUCCCAGGCGGGAAGGAUCCAGUUGAUGGCAGAGUAGCCGUGAAGAAGGAUGGUGAGGUUAGGGCGUCAGUGGGGAGCGGGCUUCUGCAGAAGGCGGAGUCACUAAGGCUGGUCGCUGUCCGUCUUUUAGAUGCUAGAGCCCAGCCUGCGACCCGUCUCUUCCCCGCCCCCCGCCCUGCCCCCCCCCGUGUUCCUUCGGUUCAAGGCCGGCCACCAGCCUUGCAUCCGCUUCCUGGUCCCUGUUCGUCCUUCUCAGCUUCUGUACUACCUGUCAUGGCCCCCUCAUGCCCCCCCCCACACACACUGAGCUGGGAAGGAGGCGCCAGGGCUCCCCCUACCCUCCUCUCGCCCUGCCCCCUGGCAGCAGAGCCCCUGGUGGGGGAUUGGGCAGCUGGCCUGGGGGGAGAGUGGCUCCCACUGCUUGGAGUUGAGGGUCCUUCUUUGGCUUCUGUGGCUGGGAGGGGGCAGCAACAGCUCACAGGGCUUUCUGCGCACAGACAGAUCUCAUACACACACACCCUCCCCCCCCAAAAAAAAACCCUCUGGGUCUGGGUUCUAGUUGCAAUUUAAUCUUUCAAACAGUUGGGCUAGGAGUAAUUGUAGUUGCCUGGGGUUUUGUUUUGGUUUUUUUUUUUAAAGCUUUUCUUAUUUUUAAACUCUAAUUUUAACAAAUGAGAGACCUGCUAAUGUACUGUAUGUGUUCCCGCAGGGGCCUUUUUCCGGGGGGAGGCCUCUGUGGCACAGUGUGCCUGGAUACACGUGGCCAGCCCUUCCAAUAAAGGCAACUUGGCGAUACACAGCACUUGGGUGCCUGCCUGCCUGCUCAGCGGCCUCCCUUUUUGCCACCCUGAGACUUCCUCCAGUGCCCGAGACUCCCCACCAGCUCGGCCUGCUUGGCCCAGGCCUCGCUUGUCACCGAGCUCUAGAGAUGAGUAGGAGCUUCUCCAGGAAGUCACUGGCUUCCAAAGACCCAACGUUUUUCAGCCUCUUGCUCUCAGGCCUCUCAGUUCCUCAGAUCCGCUUCCUCCAGCCAUGCCCUGCAGAGAUGCCUGGCCCAGAGCCAGUGUCCAAGAACUUCCAUCCUUCCAUCAUUACGAGGUCGGUAAACUGAGGACCCAGAUUGUUGAGGGCAAGAUGUUGACUCUGUAAACUGCUUAGAGAGAGCCAUAAAGCACUGUGAAGCGGUGUACAAGUCUAAGUGCUCUUGCUACCUUCCUUCCUUCCUUCCUUCCUUCCUUCCUUCCUUCCUUCCUUCCUUCCUUCCUUCCUUCCUUCCUUCCCUCCUUCCUUCCUUCCCUCCUUCCUUCCUUCCUUCCUUCCUUCCUUCCUGUUAGAAUGUGAUAUUUGCAGGGUGACUCUGCCCACUGCCAGCAGUUCGAUCCUGACUGGCUCCAGGUUGACUCAGCCUUCUAUCCUUCCGAGGUGGGUAAAAUGAGGGCCCAGAUUGUUUGGGGGCAAAGAGGCUGACUUUGUAAACUGCUUAGAGAGGAUUGUACAAGCAUUGUGAAGCGGCACAUAAGUCUGAGCACAAUUGCUAUCUUCGGUUAAUGAGGCUGAAUCAGGGCACUGGCGAAUCCUCUUGCGCCGUCCCAGAGGAAACUAUUUCCACAAGGUUCCUCCACGUUGAUCUUUAGUGGGGUGAGGCCCAGUGGCCCACCAACGCAAGGGGGGCAGGGAAGCCUCCUGUGGCUCUCACGGGCUUGGGAAAGGGGCUGCCUCUCCAGCCUGGUAGGUCGGGGACUGAGCCCUGUCAUGCGCCCUCCCCUGCACCCUUCGUGAUGCCUCUCUCCGUAGCCUUGCCCUUCCCCUGGGAUGUCCUCCCUGCUUGGGCCACAGACCCAGAACUCCGGCUGUGCUUUUCCACCCUGGAACUGCUGCUCGGUGAGAGUUGGCCGGCCAUGUGCUCAGAUCCAUCUGCCAAGCAGGGGAGGUCCUGCCUGUCCAAGCCGAGCCCUUGUUUCCCCCCCCCCCCCNNNNCCCCCCCCCCCCGAUUAUGAUGGUCUCCCCCUCCUGCCCCCACGGGGGUCAGUCCUUGGCAGCAGGGACCCCUCCUCCUGACCGAGGAAGGUGUGUUUU